AUCGCUUCUGGCCUUUUGGCUAAGAUCAAGUAGAAAUAACUGUUCUUCGAAGUGUAAAAGCUUCGACGGGGCUAUUGCCCCACGCUUUUACUUCAAUUUUUGCAAACCGGGAUGUGGACCGAAGCUUGCUUCACCCUUCCCACGGGUUGCCAUGGCGUUGCACUACUGCCAACGGUGGCCCUCCCCUC